AGUGCUUCAAUCAGACAUCUCUAUAUAGAUACUAGUAGAGGUCAGACGUGUGUGUGGCUAUGAUCAGAACCUCGAACAUCCGUAGGAUCCAAGGUAUGGAGAUCCGAUCUCCAUUUGAUUUUUCUAACCAUUUGUUUUUUUUUUAGAUUUCAGAUCAUGGUAAUAUAUUCAUAUCAAGAUUUAUGCUACAAUUUUUAUAUUAGAGCUGAUACAUUAUUAAAUUAAAAAAAUUUUAAUUUAUUUAUUUUCACUUCUUAGAU
rnacentral:lncRNA from 1 species